GAAAAAAUUUUUUUUUUAAAAAAAACCGGGGAAAAAAGGGUAACCUUUUCCCCGGGGGGUUUUUUUUUUAAAAAAAAAUUUAAAAAAAAAUUUUUUUUUUUUGGGGGGGGCCCCCCCUU